rnacentral:sRNA from 1 species
ACUAAAAGUUCGCAGUCUAAGUUCGCCGCGUCGUGCGGCAACGACUGCAUGACCUACAUCCUGUAGG